rnacentral:rRNA from 1 species
UGGGGAAUAUUGGACAAUGGGCGCAAGCCUGAUCCAGCAAUGCCGCGUGAGUGAUGAAGGCCUUAGGGUUGUAAAGCUCUUUUACCCGGGAAGAUAAUGACUGUACCGGGAGAAUAAGCCCCGGCUAACUCCGUGCCAGCAGCCGCGGUAAUACGGAGGGGGCUAGCGUUGUUCGGAAUUACUGGGCGUAAAGCGUACGUAGGCGGCUUUGUAAGUUAGAGGUGAAAGCCCGGGGCUCAACCCCGGAAUUGCCUUUAAGACUGCAUCGCUUGAAUCGCGGAGAGGUGAGUGGAAUUCCGAGUGUAGAGGUGAAAUUCGUAGAUAUUCGGAAGAACACCAGUGGCGAAGGCGGCUCACUGGACGCGUAUUGACGCUGAGGUACGAAAGCGUGGGGAGCAAACA